rnacentral:rRNA from 1 species
UACUUAGGUCCCGAGCGUUGUCCGGAUUUAUUGGGCGUAAAGCGAGCGCAGGUGGUUUAUUAAGUCUGGUGUAAAAGGCAGUGGCUCAACCAUUGUAUGCAUUGGAAACUGGUAGACUUGAGUGCAGGAGAGGAGAGUGGAAUUCCAUGUGUAGCGGUGAAAUGCGUAGAUAUAUGGAGGAACACCGGUGGCGAAAGCGGCUCUCUGGCCUGUAACUGACACUGAGGCUCGAAAGCGUGGGGAGCAAACAGG